rnacentral:pre_miRNA from 1 species
CAGAUACUCACUUCGUUCGGAAUUACUUGUCUAAAAAAUAAAUAUAUCUAGAUGUAUUUUAGUUAUAGAUACAUUUAUUUUUAUCCAUUUUUGUGAUAAGUAAUUCCGAACGGAAGAAGUAGUAG